CGCUUUUUCACCCGAUACCCGCGGAUUAAACAACCGCCCGCCGCGUACGACCGGCUAAAAUUAACCGUGAACCACAUUUGAAUCGGUACAUGGAGGAAAUGAGCGUAUCCUUACCGUUUUAAGAGCAUGAACAGACAAGCCAGCAUUUUGUGCUUUGAGUUGGAGCUUUACUGCAUAAUGAAGACGAACAACAACCUUUCUGGCCUGUGAAGGCCGCCGUAGCUUCCCUAAGGAGGAGGAAACUAUUGAGAGGUCAAAUGAUGAGAGUGUUCACUAUUAUUUACAGUAGUACAGUCAUUAUGGGGUGGCAGGCAAAGCAAACGUGGACAGGAAGAAACCACACGGACUGGAGCGAGGCCAGACCACAGUGUCCUCAAGAGUUCUGACCACAAGCACGCUCAGCCUCCACGUGGUUUCUGUGUCCACGAGUCCAGAAACGACCGCAUUCAUGUGGACACAACUUGGUUUCAACGAUACACGCCACGACGUUCACGAACCCCUACGUUUAACAGAAUCUCAGAGGACACGAAGCACAAAGGUGAGGAAGUGACGGAUGAUGACAUCACUGUGUGCCGACUUUGUUUUGAUGGACGACGACGACGGCGAGAUGAAGGUCGGCCGUCGGCGUGAUGGCACAGAGAGAGUUCUCAGUCAGCAGUGGCAGCCCUUUUCGGCCGACGCAGUCGCCAGCUCCUCCUCUUCGUCAGCCGGGUAGAGGACCUUGGCGGUGAGGCCACUCUUCACGCCGUCCCACCCGUCGCGCGUGACAAUCUCCCCCAUCUUCAUCAGCUCGUAGAUGUCUCUGGUCAGCAGCUCAAAAGCGCGGUCCACGUUGCUGUUGCACUUGGCCGAGGUCUCCACGUAGCGGAUGCCCAGCUCGGCCGCCAGCUGCUCCGCCUCGUCCCGCGUCACCUUGCGGUCCUUGUUCAGGUCGCUCUUGUGGCCGAUGAGGAUGUAGACCAUGUGGUGGGGCAGGAUGUGCUCGCUCACCUCCUUGUGCCACUCCCUCACGUGCUCAAAGGUUUUGUGGUUGGUGAGGUCAAAGACGAGCAGCCCGCCAACAGAGUUACGGUAGUACGAGGUCGUGAUGGACCUUGAAGGAAGAGAGACAACAUUAAUGAAGAUAAUCUACCAAUGCUGGAUACGUAAAUAAAUACCUUAACACUGA